rnacentral:rRNA from 1 species
UACGUAGGGUGCAAGCGUUGUCCGGAAUUAUUGGGCGUAAAGAGCUCGUAGGCGGUUCGUCGCGUCGGCUGUGAAAACUCGAGGCUCAACCUCGAGACGUCGGUUGAAACCGUUUGGCUAGAGUCCGGAAGAGGAGAGUGGAAUUCCCGGUGUAGCGGUGAAAUGCGCAGAUAUCGGGAAGAACACCCGUGGCGAAGGCGGCUCUCUGGGGCGGUACUGACGCUGAGACGCGAAAGCGUGGGGAGCGAACAGG